rnacentral:rRNA from 1 species
CCGCGUGGAGGAUGAAGCCCUUCGGGGUGGUAACUCCUUUCGAUCGGGACGGAUGAUGACGGUACCGGAUGAAGAAGCACCGGCUAACUCUGUGC